CCUACGAGAGGCAGCAGUGGGGAAUAUUGGACAAUGGGGGGAACCCUGAUCCAGCCAUGCCGCGUGUGUGAAGAAGGCCCUCGGGUUGUAAAGCACUUUCAGUGAGGAAGAACGCCUGGUGGUUAAUACCCAUCAGGAAAGACAUCACUCACAGAAGAAGCACCGGCUAACUCCGUGCAAGCAGCCGCGGUAAUACGGAGGGUGCGAGCGUUAAUCGGAAUUACUGGGCGUAAAGCGCGCGUAGGUGGCUUGAUAAGCCGGUUGUGAAAGCCCCGGGCUCAACCUGGGAACGGCAUCCGGAACUGUCAAGCUAGAGUGCAGGAGAGGAAGGUAGAAUUCCCGGUGUAGCGGUGAAAUGCGUAGAGAUCGGGAGGAAUACCAGUGGCGAAGGCGGCCUUCUGGACUGACACUGACACUGAGGUGCGAAAGCGUGGGUAGCAAACAGGAUUAGAUACCCGGGUAGUC
rnacentral:rRNA from 1 species